rnacentral:rRNA from 1 species
UCCCAGACUCCUACGGGAGGCAGCAGUGAGGAAUAUUGGUCAAUGGGCGGAAGCCUGAACCAGCCAAGUCGCGUGAGGGAAUAAGGCCCUACGGGUCGUAAACCUCUUUUGCCGGGGAGCAAGGGCGGGGACGUGUCCCGGCCCGGAGAGUACCCGGAGAAAAAGCAUCGGCUAACUCCGUGCCAGCAGCCGCGGUAAUACGGAGGAUGCGAGCGUUAUCCGGAUUUAUUGGGUUUAAAGGGUGCGCAGGCGGAAGAGAAAGUCGGGGGUAAAAUUGAGGGGCUCAACCUCUUCGAGCCGUUGAAACUGGUUUUCUUGAGUGAGCGAGAAGUAUGCGGAAUGCGUGGUGUAGCGGUGAAAUGCAUAGAUAUCACGCAGAACUCCGAUUGCGGAGGCAGCAUACCGGCGCCCAACUGACGCUGAAGCACGAAAGCGUGGGUAUCGAACAGGAUUAGAUACCCUCGUAAUU